CUCAGGCACCCGAACAGAGCACAGAGGGAAGACACAGCUGUCUCACACCAGAAAGUGCUUUGCAUGCCGCUGACCCGAAAACCUUCCCUGGUGUGCCUCAAGCUAAUUUUUCACCACAUUAGCCUGGGCAGACAUAAAAACUGGGCCACCGUGAGGACAAAGCCAGCUUGUGUAUACAUCCACAGCAGGAAGGCAUGGGACAACGCAGCGGAGAAAGAGCUGGAGUGUUCUGAAUACUUCACUUCUCAGAGGCAUAAAGACAAAGAAUUAGGUGAUGAGAAAAAAAUCCCCAAAACAUCAGAGUGACACGUGAGUGCGAGAAAGCAUUUCCUGCCUGUGUGUGUGGAUAUGUGGCGGUACACAGAGACACACACCAGUACAGGCUAACCAGGAGGUGAGAGCAGGGUUUGACAUUGAUGAAUGCCACCCUCUCCUUUCCGUCCUCUCUGUCUUAGAGGCACAGAGGAAGCUUUCUACCGCUUUCCUUUUUUCAAGAAAGAACCUCAUCAGCAUUCAGCAUGCAUCACCAGCUCACUGCAUCCAAUCACGUGGUCUCACCAUACAGAGCGAACAUUUGUGACUGUGUGUGUGUAUAAAGUCUGUGUGUGAUGAUGGGAGACUGGCAGAGACAGGCAGGGAGAAUCCCUUUGUGCUGCCUGUGAAUGCCCAAGGUCAUGUAUGAACACAUCUGAGACGGGCACCAAGAGGAAAUAAUAACAUUCCAGGUCAAAGUGUGUGAUUUGUUUGUUUGCUUGCAGUUCGUUAGGGUUAGUGGAAGCAAAGGGAAGAUAAAAGGGUGCUUCUCGUUGGCUAGAUUUGCCUUAGAUUAUUAAUCUAAAGUGAUGCUUCAUCUCCCUUCUCUCCAAGAAAACCCUCCAAAGCUCAUACAUUUAAAUUUAUAUUCCAUCAUAAUCUUGGGAUAAUCCAAAAUGGUUAAGUGCUAAAAGGGGGAUUAGAGGUGUGGGAGCGAGAGCUCGGCCACAAGUCGAUUUCUCCGAGAGAUUGCACUCAUGUUUGAUACCCAGUUCCCAUGGCAACCAGUUACUGUGGCGUACCUGACCUAUAUAUGUGCUGUAUGUACACAAACAUGUGCUAACCAUCUGUUACUGUUGCUUCGUACAGUGGCUCAUGGGGACUUUGAGGAGCUGCUUAAUGAGUUUUGGUAAU